rnacentral:lncRNA from 1 species
ACAAUAGAGUAUUGGAAUAACUGCAUGAAUUGAAAUCAGAAAGGUAAAGACAAGAGGAAACAAUUUAUCAUAAUAUCAAGAUUGGAGAAUGAUGGGGUGCUAAAAUAAAGAAAAGAGAAUAAUGGACAAAAUUUAUAAAGAAAAGAGGAAUACAAUGGGAAUGUGUACAUGUCCAUGGUACUAUAUAAUGCCCCGCUGAUCUUAUUUUAACAAAAUAACAUUUGGACUUAAUACAG